rnacentral:rRNA from 1 species
UACGAAGGGGGCUAGCGUUGCUCGGAAUCACUGGGCGUAAAGCGCACGUAGGCGGAUUUCUAAGUCAGGGGUGAAAUCCUGGAGCUCAACUCCAGAACUGCCUUUGAUACUGGGAAUCUCGAGUCCGGGAGAGGUGAGUGGAACUCCUGGUGGAGCGGUGAAAUGCGUAGAUAUCAGGAGGAACACCGGUGGCGAAAGCGGCUCACUGGCCGGAAUCUGACACUGAGGUGCGAAAGCUAGGGUAGCAAACGGG